ACCUGCCCACUGAUUAAAGGGCCGCGGUAUUUUGACCGUGCAAAGGUAGCAUAAUCAUUAGUCUCUUAAUUAGAGGCUGGAAUGAAUGGUUGGACGAAAUAUAAUCUAUUAGAAUUUAAUUAUUAAGUAAAAAAGCUUAAAUAAUUUUUUGGGACGAGAAGACCCUAUAGAGUUAUUUAUAUUUUAUUGGGGUGAUAAGAAGAUAUAAAACUUUUUUUUGAUCCAUUUGAUUAUAAGACUAAAUUACCUUAGGGAUAACAGCGUAAUCUUUUUUGAGAGUUCAUAUCGACAAUAAGGGUUGCGACCUCGAUUGGGAUUAAAA
rnacentral:rRNA from 1 species